rnacentral:rRNA from 1 species
UGAAUACGAGACGCUAAGGCGUCGAAGUAGUGUAUGUCAUACUUCCAAGAAAAGCUUGCACUGUCAUAGGUAAAAAACGCCUGUACCAUAACCGACACAGGUGGGUAGGUAGAGUAUACUAAGGGGCGCGAGAUAACUCUCUCUAAGGAACUCGGCAAAAUAACUCCGUAACUUCGGGAGAAGGAGUGCCUUAUUCGUAAGGUUGCAAUAACAAGAUCCAAGCAACUGUUUAUCAAAAACACAGGUCUCCGCUAAGUCGUAAGACGAUGUAUGGGGGCUGACGCCUGCCCAGUGCCAGAAGGUUAAAGAAGUUGGUUAGCAAUUGCGAAGCUGAUAACUGAAGCCCUGGUGAACGGCGGCCGUAACUAUAACGGUCCUAAGGUAGCGAAAUUCCUUGUCGGGUAAGUUCCGACCCGCACGAAAGGCGUAAUGAUUUGGAUACUGUCUCGGAGAGGGGCUCGGUGAAAUAGACUUGUCUGUGAAGAUGCGGACUACCUGCACCAGGACAGAAAGACCCUAUGAAGCUUUACUGUAACUUGAAAUUGAAAUUGGACUUUAUUCGCGCAGUAUAGGUGGGAGGCGUUGAUUAUAAUCUUGUGGGAUUAUUGGAGCCAUCAGUGAGAUACCACUCUUGUAAUGUUAGAUUUCUAACUUUGAAUCAUUAUCUGGUCAAAGAACAGUUUCAGGCGGGCAGUUUGACUGGGGCGGUCGCCUCCUAAACGGUAACGGAGGCGUACAAAGGUUUCCUCUGAACGGUUAGAAAUCGUAUCUAGAGUGUAAAGGCAUAAGGAAGCUUGACUGUGAGACCUACAAGUCGAGCAGGGACGAAAGUCGGUCUUAGUGAUCUGACGGUACUGAGUGGAAAGGCCGUCACUCAACGGAUAAAAGUUACUCUAGGAUAACAGGCUGAUCUCCCCCAAGAGUUCACAUCGACGGGGAGGUUUGGCACCUCGAUGUCGGCUCAUCGCAUCCUGGGGCGGUAGUACGUCCCAAGGGUUGGGCUGUUCGCCCAUGAAAGCGGUACGCGAGCUGGGUUCAGAACGUCGUGAGACAGUUCGGUCCAUAUCCGGUGUAGGCGUUAGAAUAUUGAGAGGAGCCUUCUUUAGUACGAGAGGACCGAGAAGGACAUACCUCUGGUGUACCAGUUAUCGUGCCAACGGUAAACGCUGGGUAGCUAUGUAUGGAGUGGAUAACCGCUGAAAGCAUCUAAGUGGGAAGCCCACCUCAAGAUAAGUA